AUUGAACGCUGGCGGCAGGCCUAACACGUGCAAGUCGAGCGGAUGAAGGGAGCUUGCUCCUGGAUUCAGCGGCGGACGGGUGAGUAAUGCCUAGGAAUCUGCCUGGUAGUGGGGGAUAACGUCCGGAAACGGGCGCUAAUACCGCAUACGUCCUGAGGGAGAAAGUGGGGGAUCUUCGGACCUCACGCUAUCAGAUGAGCCUAGGUCGGAUUAGCUAGUUGGUGGGGUAAAGGCCUACCAAGGCGACGAUCCGUAACUGGUCUGAGAGGAUGAUCAGUCACACUGGAACUGAGACACGGUCCAGACUCCUACGGGAGGCAGCAGUGGGGAAUAUUGGACAAUGGGCGAAAGCCUGAUCCAGCCAUGCCGCGUGUGUGAAGAAGGUCUUCGGAUUGUAAAGCACUUUAAGUUGGGGGGAAGGGCAGUAAGUUAAUACCUUGCUGUUUUGACGUUACCAACAGAAUAAGCACCGGCUAACUUCGUG
rnacentral:rRNA from 1 species